rnacentral:rRNA from 1 species
AGUGAACGCUGGCGGUAGGCCUAACACAUGCAAGUCGAACGGCAGCACAGUAAGAGCUUGCUCUUACGGGUGGCGAGUGGCGGACGGGUGAGGAAUACAUCGGAAUCUACUUUUUCGUGGGGGAUACCGUAGGGAAACUUACGCUAAUACCGCAUACGACCUACGGGUGAAAGCAGGGGAUCUUCGUACCUUGCGCUAUUGAAUGAGCCGAUGUCGGAUUAGCUAGUUGGCGGGGUAAAGGCCCACCAAGGCGACGAUCCGUAGCUGGUCUGAGAGGAUGAUCAGCCACACUGGAACUGAGACACGGUCCAGACUCCUACGGGAGGCAGCAGUGGGGAAUAUUGGACAAUGGGCGCAAGCCUGAUCCAGCCAUACCGCGUGGGUGAAGAAGGCCUUCGGGUUGUAAAGCCCUUUUGUUGGGAAAGAAAAGCAGCAGGUUAAUACCCCGCUGUUCUGACGGUACCCAAAGAAUAAGCACCGGCUAACUUCGUG